UGAAGGAGGUGCAUGGCCGGCUCAACACUGUUACGGGUCCUAGGGCGAAAAAUAUUUGUUUUUACCCUGUAAAAUUUAUAUUUAAGCAAUGUUUAAAAUGUUUUUAAAAUUUAAUCAGUAAUAUUUUGUAAUGAAAAUAAAACUAUAUACAUAUCAAAUAAUUUGGGUCCUUUUCAAUUUUAUUUGUUAUAUUUAUAUUUUUUAUAUAUAAAAAUAUAUAUUAUAAAAAAAUUAGACCCCUUAAUUAGUAUUAUACGGUGAGACACGAGCUUGGACCCGGAGCGGUCGCAUCCCUUGUCCCCCUAAUCUUGGAAGUCUUGCUCUGAUGUUUGCAGCGUUUACCAUAGCUUAUGUGUCUACUGUCACUUCUGCAUCUAAUAUCUCAUCUAAUAUCUUCUUCUUAUCUGCUUCUUUGUUUAUUCUUCUCUUUUUUGUUUGUUUUCCCAUAUCUCUUUUUCAUUCUAGCUCUCUUUGUUUAUUCAUUUCUCUCUCUUCACUAUAUCUAGUGCCUGAGAUAAAAUCGUAUCACAUGUAAUCUUUCUAUAGGAUUUGGUAGAAUCACGCUUAAUAGGGGUAAAAUGGUAUUAAUUAAUUUUGUACAGGACAUAAAACAAGGCAGGGGUAGUUUCUUAAUAGGAAAAUUUGGACUCCUACCGACGCAUUUUCCUCUAAUUAGAACAAUAGCAAUUUCAACUGUUUGAACACUGUGCAAAUAUGACACUGAUACCCCUACACGCCAACCUCCAUGAAUUAUGUGUUUUGAGUAGGCAAAAUCUUAUGUCUAGAUACGCAAAGAUCCUAUUUUCUGACAUCUUCAUCCAAAUCCUUUAAUGUCAGAUUGGUUUUCAAUUAAUCGCUGGGUUUCAAACUAUAUUUUUCAAAUUUCAAAACCAUAUCUCUCUUCAUACGAUUCUCUCUCUAUUUUUCUGUCUCGAGAAAAUCAUUCUUAAACAGAAACCCCUAAAAUCUGCCGGCGAGCUCGUGAGAAAAUUGAGAACAAUAAUUCGCAACCUCCACCAUACCCUAGAGAUAAGUAUAAACUUUGCUUUAUUGGAUCGCGAAUCUAUGGCCGUUGAUUCCUCACUGCUUUCUGCGACUUUGCCGGCAACUACUCUGACGGUGGCUUGGCUUGCUCCUGGGUUUCGAUUUCAUCCGACUGAUGAAGAACUCGUGAGCUAUUACUUGAUAUCUACAAGCAUAAGCUUUGGGACUUUCCAGGAGCCAAUGUCUUAAAGAUUUGAUAUAUCCUAAUAUACCUUCUCUACAACAAUCUACGACAGUUGGAACGAAUACUAAAACCGUGCAAAAUGUGGAUGCUUCUGCAGACAUUUGGGUGGAACAAAGUAGGAACCAGCAUAGUCAAAACAGUGCAUAUCAUAGAGAAGGAGACAUGCUCAAAAGAGAGUGAGACCAUAGAUGGAUUUUAAGCAAUGGUUUUCAAUCCUAUCGAACUAGAUAUAAUCUGAUGUCUAGUAUAAUGCUUUUCUAGUAGUAUUUCUAAGUGUUUAGUUAGAGAGAGUUGUGAAACUCCACAGUUUGCACUCUUAACUUUUUUUGGUUAUAAAUGUUUUGAAACACCGUUAUGUAUGUCAAUAACAAUCAUUUAUUUUACUUGAUUGGUUCUUUA